CCCUUUUCAUGGGGACAACAGCUGGAAACGGCUGCUAAUACCGAGUAAGCUCCAAUGACCGCAUGGUAAUUGGAGGAAAGAUGGCCUCUGCAUAUGCUAUCGGGAAAGGAUGGACCCGCGUCUGAUUAGAUAGUUGGUGAGGUAACGGCUCACCAAGUCGACGAUCAGUAGCCGGCCUGAGAGGGUGGCCGGCCACAUUGGGACUGAGACACGGCCCAG
rnacentral:rRNA from 1 species